rnacentral:rRNA from 1 species
UAUAGGAUUGGCUCGCGUGACAUUAGCCAGAUGGUGAGGUAACGGCUCACCAUAGCAAUGAUGUCUAGGGGUUUUGAGAGGAAGGCCCCCCACACUGGGACUGAGACACGGCCCAGACUCCUACGGGAGGCAGCAGUGAGGAAUAUUGGACAAUGGAUGGAAAUCUGAUCCAGCCAUGCCGCGUGCAGGAAGACGGCCUUAUGGGUUGUAAACUGCUUUUAUACGGGAGCAAUAAGGGUUACGAGUAAUCCGAUGAGAGUACUGUAUGAAUAAGGAUCGGCUAACUCCGUGCCAGCAGCCGCGGUAAUACGGAGGAUCCGAGCGUUAUCCGGAAUUAUUGGGUUUAAAGGGUGCGUAGGCGGCCAUUUAAGUCAGCGGUGAAAUUUUACAGCUUAACUGUAACAGUGCCGUUGAUACUGUUUGGCUAGGAUUUGGUUGUAGUGUGCGGAAUGUGUGGUGUAACGGUGAAAUGCUUAGAUAUCACACAGAACACCGAUUGCGAAGGCAGCACACUAAGUCAUUAUUGACGCUGAGGCACGAAAGUGUGGGGAUCAAACAGGAUUAGAUACCCUGGUAGUCCACGCAGUAAACUAUGAUUACUCGCCGUUUGCGAUACACCGUAAGCGGCUUAGCGAAAGCGUUAAGUAAUCCACCUGGGGAGUACGUUCGCAAGAAUGAAACUCAAAGGAAUUGACGGGGGCCCGCACAAGCGGAGGAACAUGUGGUUUAAUUCGAUGAUACGCGAGGAACCUUACCCGGGCUUGAAAUGCAUCUGACAGGAGCAGAGACGCUCUCUUCCUUCGGGACAGAUGUGUAGGUGCUGCAUGGUUGUCGUCAGCUCGUGCCGUGAGGUGUCGGCUUAAGUGCCAUAACGAGCGCAACCCUCAUCAUUAGUUACCAUCAGGUUAAGCUGGGACUCUAAUGAGACUGCCAUCGUAAGAUGCGAGGAAGGUGGGGAUGACGUCAAAUCAGCACGGCCCUUACGUCCGGGGCGACACACGUGUUACAAUGGGUGGUACAAAGGGCAGCUACAUGGCGACAUGAUGCUAAUCUCCAAAACCACUCUCAGUUCGGAUCGGAGUCUGCAACUCGACUUCGUGAAGCUAGAUUCGCUAGUAAUCGCGCAUCAGCCACGGCGCGGUGAAUACGUUCCCGGGCCUUGCACACACCGCCCGUCAAG